AAGCCAAACCCAAUUUCUUGUCUGUUGUGCUUCACUGUUCCCUCCCCUCCUGGUGUAAUCCAAAGUGAACUAUCAAAUAGCACUGCCCGCUUUCUUUCAGCCGUUCAUGCGAGGCGUUCAGUCAAGUUCUAACUCCGCUUUAGGGCCUCACAGCCCCAUCUGUGGGGUCCCGUGGAGCUCAAGUGGACCCAUGAUCAAGAGAGGAACAGGAACUGGCCUUGGACGUUACGCUAAGUCACAGCCGUAACUCGUCAAAGAAAUCACAACUGGAUGGUUGCGUAACACUCCAUGCCACAAAACUUGUUUUAUAAAUCGUAACUGGCUUGAUUCACGCUACCGACUGAACUGAACCAAAAUACAUCAGGACUCAGAGGGCUCUUGGUGUCUGACCUGAAAAACUGAUCUGCAACUUCUCUUUUUACUGGAAGAAUCUCCCGGCUCGCUGAUCCUUCUGCCCGACAGCCCAACUUCAUAGCCAGUGUUUCUCAACCGUGGCAACUUUAAGGCCAGUCAAGACAGAAGCAAAAGGGACAGCUAUUGAAGCCGGGAGGUCUGUGUUAAAUUCCAGUCUUGCCGUUUUGAAAUGCAAGUACCUUUUCCAAGGCGAGAUGCAACCGUUUGAAUAAUGCAUGCAGGAAAAAUGAUCCCUGCCUGCCGUGGGUAUAAAAAUGCCUGACUUGGCCAGCUACCUCUGUGGCUAGACAGCAGCAACAGGCAGAUAGGGCCUGCUUCUAGAGGUUGACAGAGCACCUUGUUGAAAGGGGUUGAUCCAUCCAGGAGCUAUAAUAUCUUCCCCAGAGGCAGAAGAUCAGACGGAGCUUCCAGUCAAACUACUACUUCUACGACUCUUGCCAGGCUCUUGAGGAUCAGCGAUGAUUCACUUCUGUCUGGCCCACACUGCCUAUCACUUCAGCCGACGGCUACCGAAGCACCUGCGAUUCAGACUGUAAGCUGCCACAUCUCGGAGUUAACUCAGGCACAAAAGUAAAAAAUCAUUAUUGUUCACUCCUACUGCUUGUAUUUCCACAUCGCCCAAUAAGAGCAUAAUCCUAGCUGCACACCCCAGCAUUAGAUGGGAAAAAGAAUGAAUUUAUGCUAUGUGUAACUCUAUGGGGGAAGUCCCCUUUGACACACGGUGCCUGCCACGCAGUCGCCCACUUUUGCAUCUCUUAAAACACUUCCGCAACCCACCCACGUGACUGAUGUCGCGGACCUAUAGCUUCUGUUCAAUCUUUUGGGUAAGCUGCACCCGUUGAAACCACAAGAAUAAAAUUCACCACUUAACGCCGCUUGCCACCAGUCACCAACCAUACAGCAUGACGGCAAUAUGCCUCCAGACAAUAAAAGCACUGAUCCAUCUAUCUGUUUUGUUUUUAUUUCCUUGCUCUCUUCCCUAGACAGCUUGUGAUUUUUGCCCUCGGAACUGCCGUUCUUCUUCUCCAAUUCUACAUCCUGCUACGGUAUAACACGGAACUUCGUUUCUCUUUUUCUCGUGAUAUUCCCUUGACGUGCUUGCGUACCUUCUAGAACAUGGGGGCAGCCGACCGGAACAUCCCGAGGAGUUCGAGAGAAGAGAGAACUUGCGGCCUGUCCCAUGAGUGUUUUUGGGGUUGGAUUGGGAUUUUUUUUGGUUAAAGUCUCUGCUGGAGACUGAACGGAUGGUUUCCGGUUUUCUCCCGAAGGUUCAAAUUCCCGACCUGAAGGACUGAAAAUUUAAGGGAAGGCUGUGGUGGGACAGGUAUUUUAGACUAUACUGAUAGUAAAAUGACCACCAAGCCUUGAGAGCAGUGCCUCUGAUAAAGAAGGCCCUCUAAUUUAGCGUUAGGAAAUUAGGCACAUGUUGGAAGUUAUAAUGUAAUAUACCUGGAAGUCAUUGAAAAGUUGUAAGGACUUAACUAACAACAGAUCAGAGACUGAGGAGGAGAAAUCCCUUGCAUGCAAAAGCUUCCAGGUUCAAACCGUAAUUUAAAAGGCCAAGUAGUGGGUGAGGGAAAAGGCCCUUCUCCGUGUGAGAUGCUGACAACUAUGCCAGAGGGAGAGAUGCUCCGGUGCUACUCUCAGUUUGCAUUUCUGGAUCUGUACCAUGCUCAACAAAUGGAACGGGGCUUUGUUCAUUCCAUGGUUACAGAGCGUAGGAAGUGGACUAAGAAGAGAAUCUAUGCUGGGAAAGGAAAGGAAAGGAAAGGAAAGGAAAGGAAAGGAAAGGAAAGGAAAGGAAAGGAAAGGAAAGGAAAGGAAAGGAAAGGAAAGGAAAGGAAAGGAAAGGAAAGGAAAGGAAAGGAAAGGAAAGGUUCAAGGACAGGUGUGAAAAUGUGCAGACCGAGCUUUGCAAGUAAGGGGAGAAACAAAGCAGGUUUCCCAGCGCCUGGCGCUAGCAGAAAUGAGGCAAGCUACAGGCAAAUGUAUGCAAAGGUGCAUAUAACGUAUACUGUACGUCCAGCAGAAUUCAGUUUGGCCUGCCGAAAGGUAAAAGAUAACCCCCAUGCAAAACCUCCAUGUAAAAUACCAGAAUUGCACGUUCCAGGUUACAUUUGAAGAACUGCUACCCAUGAACUUGGAACACGUGGUUACUGGCCCACCUUUUUCUCCACCUUGUUUUUCAGACCUAAAUCUUCUCACUACUGCGACCAGCCCCUUCUCUACAACCUGGCAGGCAGCAUUGCCUUGACAUUCCUUGCUACGGGUGUGUGAAGGCUCCAGAGGUUCUCCAGAGCGUCACGAGAGGCCAAGUUCUGCAGGAUGGUGCUCGAGGGCUCAUCCUAACCCAGGAGGAUGCAUGCGGGUCCCCACAUCAUCUUAGAGCUACCACAGCCUUGAAACAGAACGCUGCUCCUCAGCUUGGAAGGCUGGGUUGAUGCGGUGCUCCAAGCCACAAUGUCGCAGUUUUGGCUUCACAAAUCUAAACGCUUUUGCUGCAGAGCCCAGCAUUCAGCCUGUAGCUCUGCAGAAAAGACCGUGGGGGACAUGUACACCUAACAAGAACAGGCCGCAAUUUAUGUAGCCGAGGACUCCCCAAAGCCCUACCUAUUGUUCCUCUGUGCAUGUCCAUAUGCUAAUUCUCCUCUCACUGUCUUCUAGGGCUGGCUUUAAUCUUAGCCGUGGCAGAGCACGUCCCAUGGGAGCUGAGAGCCACUGUCUCCAUUUUUGGACUCACCUCUUUCGCAGAAGGAGCCUGUAUUACUUUACUCACUGCCUUGGCCACACAAUGUGCCAGAACCACUCCUGAGCUCUAUUACCUCUCGCUGACUCUGUCUGUGGCUAGCAUAAUAGCAACCACCUAUUUUUCCUUCUUGGGAUUAUUCUGGCUUGCCAAUGUCAUCUCUCCUGGGCUGACGUUGAACAAGAAAGCCAAGACUGGAAUCUGUUAUGAGCCAGUGUCUGAAUGUGGAUGCCUGUGGCACGUCUGACUGGCCCUGUGCUGACCACUGGACUUUGCAAGACCCAUGAAGCUUCAGUAAAUCUUCCUGCUUUGAGCAGGAUUCUGCACAACUGCCUUGGCUUCCCUUUCUUUGUCACAGGGAAGACAAGAACACCCCUGGCAGCUGGCACAGUGAAAAGACCUUGAAGCUCACCAAUGCUUUUAACAUUCUGAAGACUUCUGAGUUGAAAAGGCAAGGUCGGACUCUCAAAUGGUUUUAAGCAUUUUACAAAGGAUUUCACCAUUCACCCAUUUAAAAAGGAAACUCACAAACCGUUCAAGUGGUUUGAAAACAAGGGGACUCAAUUGCCAUGGGAACAGGUAUGGAACCAGAGAGGGAAAGAGUAAAGUUAUCCACAGUGCCUAAUGCCUUGGUUUCAUAGUGGAAGAACGGUUUCAGCUGAAGAACCAACUGCACCUAUCUGUGUAAAUGAAAAUGUCCUCAGGCAGUACAUUUCUGCCCUCCCUGCAGCAGAAUUUUUGACAUUUUCUUUCAGGCUGGAAGGAGAAACAAUUGUUUAAA